rnacentral:rRNA from 1 species
GGGUAGAGUAAUGCGUGACCAACCUGCCCCAUGCUCCAGAAUAGCUCUUGGAAACGGGUGGUAAUGCUGGAUGCUCCAACUUGACGCAUGUCUUGUUGGGAAAGUGUUUAGUGGCAUGGGAUGGGGUCGCGUCCUAUCAGCUUGUAGGCGGGGUAAUGGCCCACCUAGGCUUCGACGGGUAGCCGGCCUGAGAGGGCGGACGGCCACAUUGGGACUGAGAUACGGCCCAGACUCCUACGGGAGGCAGCAG